AUACGUAGGGUGCAAGCGUUAAUCGGAAUUACUGGGCGUAAAGCGUGCGCAGGCGGUUUUGGAAGAUAGAGGCGAAAUCCCCGGGCUCAACCUGGGGACUGCCUUUGUGUGUGUUAGGCUAGAGUACGGCACUGGGGGAUGGAAUUCCGCGUGUAGGCGUGACACGCGUAAGUAUGCGGCGGACAGCCGAUGGCGAAGGCAGCCCCCUGGCGAUGUACUGCCGCUCAUGCACAAAAGCGUGGGAAGCAAACGGAAAUAGAAACCCUGGUAGUCCACGGCCAAAACGCUGUCAACUGGUUAAUGGGUCUUCAUUGACUCAUUAACGGAGCUAACGCGUGAAGUUGACCGCCUGGGGAGGACGGCCGCAAGGUUGAAACUCAAAUGAAUUCACGGGG
rnacentral:rRNA from 1 species